GGAUGUUAGCCAUGGAGGAACUUAUCAAGACCUUCACUGAGCCGGACACGGUGAUCCAUGAGAACUUCAGGUUGUUCCUGAGCUCCAUGCCCACCAAGGUGUUCCUGUCACCGUCCUCCAGAACUCUGUCAAGGUGACCAACGAGCCUCCUAAGGGUCUACGUGCCAACGUGCGCCGGGCGUUCACUGAGAUCACCAACAACUUCUUUGAGGAGCACAUCCUGGGACGCCAGUGGAGGAAGAUCAUCUUUGGAGUCUGCUUCUUCCACGCC